UACGUAGGGGGGCAAGCGUUGUCCGGAUUUAUUGGGCGUAAAAGCGCGUGUAGGCGGCUUGGUAGGUCAGCUGUGAAAACUCGAGGCUCAACCUCCGAGCUGUCGGUUGAAAACCACCUUGCUAGAGUCCGGAAGAGGAGAGUGGAAUUCCUGGUGUAGCGGUGAAAUGCGCAGAUAUCAGGAAGAACACCAAUGGCGAAGGCAGCUCUCUGGGACGGUACUGACGCUGAGACGCGGAAAGCGUGGGGAGCGAACAGG
rnacentral:rRNA from 1 species